CGCUGUAACUCAGAGUGUAUUUCACACAGUGGAUGUGAUGAGGGUUGGACUCUGAUCACUCAUGAAAAGUUUCAGGCUGAUUUGAUGAUGUAGAGGCCAGUUAUACAGCAUUUACUGUCCCUCCAACAGGUGGCGCCGCGACUGAGAGUGUCUGUUGGCCUGUAGAUGUGAUCAGGAUUGGAUUGUGAUCACACAUGGAAAGUUUGAGGCAGAUUGGAGCAUGCAGAGGAGAGUUAUACAGCAGUUGAUGUUUCAUGGCGAAGCAUCAAAACGCUGAUGGUCGCCAUGGCCACACCAUUUGGCUUCUGGUUAAACUUUUGAUAACUUUUCAUCACCAAGUCCUGCUGUGUGGACUGACAAAAUUUCAGGUCUCCUGGAAUUAUCCCCUAGGAGGUAUUAACUCUCAAAAAUGAGAAAAAUCAUCAAAAAUCUCACAAUUAAUCCAAGAUGGCUGACUUCCUGUUGGGUUUAGGACAUGGCUCCAAGAGGCUUUUUUGUGCGUCCUGAUGUGCUCUAUAAGCCUCCCAAAUUUCAUGGAUGUAGGUGAAACGUGCUGGGGGGGCUGUUUGUUAAAAAUACUGUAGGGGGCGCUAUAGCAUGUGCAGUGCCGAGAUGCAUACAGUGUUGUUCCUUGGGUCAAUGGUGAUGUGUGUGGUAAUUUUUGUGAGCAUUGGAGUAUUCCUAACCUGUCAGAAAGGGCUUUGUUUUUCAUGGCGAUAUUUGGUUGCUACGGCAACAGCGUUACAUGAAAUGUCACACCCUUCACAGUGUGUGAUUGUCAAGAGGUGAAGACUCGACUGACCAAUUUCCAGCAUGAUAUCACCAAGUUUGGGGCCAUUGUACCUGAAAAUAUAAGGCCUUAAACUUACUAUUACCAACAGGUGGCGCUAUGACUUUUUCAGAAUUUAUGAGUGUGGAUGUGUUCAGACUGGACCUGGUGUCCAUCAUGUGAAGUUUGGGGCAGAUAGGAUCUUGUUCAGCUGAGAUAUGAAUCGUUAAAGUUUCAUGGCGAAACAUCGAAAUUGGUUUGGCCGCCACAGACACGCCCUUUGAUGACAAGCCACCAUUUUCACUGGGAUGCAUCAUCAAUGUGUUCAGGCUGUUGUCACCGCAUUUGAAGUGAAUAUGAUCAACCGGG